rnacentral:rRNA from 1 species
GACGAACGCUGGCGGCGUGCUUAACACAUGCAAGUCGAACGGAAAGGCCCUGCUUUUGUGGGGUGCUCGAGUGGCGAACGGGUGAGUAACACGUGAGUAACCUGCCCUUGACUUUGGGAUAACUUCAGGAAACUGGGGCUAAUACCGGAUAGGAGCUCCUGCUGCAUGGUGGGGGUUGGAAAGUUUCGGCGGUUGGGGAUGGACUCGCGGCUUAUCAGCUUGUUGGUGGGGUAGUGGCUUACCAAGGCUUUGACGGGUAGCCGGCCUGAGAGGGUGACCGGCCACAUUGGGACUGAGAUACGGCCCAGACUCCUACGGGAGGCAGCAGUGGGGAAUAUUGCACAAUGGGCGGAAGCCUGAUGCAGCAACGCCGCGUGCGGGAUGACGGCCUUCGGGUUGUAAACCGCUUUCGCCUGUGACGAAGCGUGAGUGACGGUAAUGGGUAAAGAAGCACCGACUAACUACGUGCCAGCAGCCGCGGUGAUACGUAGGGUGCGAGCGUUGUCCGGAUUUAUUGGGCGUAAAGGGCUCGUAGGUGGUUGAUCGCGUCGGAAGUGUAAUCUUGGGGCUUAACCCUGAGCGUGCUUUCGAUACGGGUUGACUUGAGGAAGGUAGGGGAGAAUGGAAUUCCUGGUGGAGCGGUGGAAUGCGCAGAUAUCAGGAGGAACACCAGUGGCGAAGGCGGUUCUCUGGGCCUUUCCUGACGCUGAGGAGCGAAAGCGUGGGGAGCGAACAGGCUUAGAUACCCUGGUAGUCCACGCUGUAAACGGUGGGUACUAGGUGUGGGGUCCAUUCCACGGGUUCCGUGCCGUAGCUAACGCUUUAAGUACCCCGCCUGGGGAGUACGGCCGCAAGGCUAAAACUCAAAGGAAUUGACGGGGCCCCGCACAAGCGGCGGAGCAUGCGGAUUAAUUCGAUGCAACGCGUAGAACCUUACCUGGGUUUGACAUGGAUCGGGAGCGCUCAGAGAUGGGUGUGCCUCUUUUGGGGUCGGUUCACAGGUGGUGCAUGGCUGUCGUCAGCCCGUGUCGUGAGAUGUUGGGUUAAGUCCCGCAACGAGCGCAACCCUUGUUCACUGUUGCCAGCACGUUAUGGUGGGGACUCAGUGGAGACCGCCGGGGUCAACUCGGAGGAAGGUGGGGAUGACGUCAAGUCAUCAUGCCCCUUAUGUCCAGGGCUUCACGCAUGCUACAAUGGCUGGUACAGAGAGUGGCGAGCCUGUGAGGGUGAGCGAAUCUCGGAAAGCCGGUCUCAGUUCGGAUUGGGGUCUGCAACUCGACCUCAUGAAGUCGGAGUCGCUAGUAAUCGCAGAUCAGCAACGCUGCGGUGAAUACGUUCCCGGG